GGGGAUUUAGCUCAGUGUGGUAGAGCGCUUGCCUAGCGAGCGCAAGGCCCUGGGUUCGGUUCCCAGCUCCG
rnacentral:tRNA from 1 species